CCCGUCCGCCGGAUGACCAAGGGUUCCAGGGCCAGGCUAAUCCGCCCUGGGUAAGUCGGGACCUAAGACGAGGCCGACAGGCGUAGUCGAUGGACAACGGGUUGAUAUUCCCGUACCGGUUUACACGCGACCAUGACGAGCCCAGUGAUGCUAAGCCCACAAAGUCGAGGAACUCUUCGGAGGGAAUCGGUGGAGUGCGCGAACCGAACUGGUAGUAGUCAAGCAAUGGGGUGACGCAGGAAGGUAGCUCAACCGCGGCGAUGGUAGACCGCGGCCAAGGUUGUAGGGCGAGAUGUAGGCAAAUCCGCAUCUCAUGUGCCUGAGAACUGACGGGGAGCCGACUUAGGCGAAGUGAGUGAUCCUAUGCUGCCGAGAAAAGCCUCUAGCGAGUGUGUAAGCCGCCCGUACCCCAAACCGACACAGGUGGUCAGGUAGAGAAUACCGAGGCGAUCGAGUGAACUGUGGUUAAGGAACUCGGCAAAUUGCCCCCGUAACUUCGGGAGAAGGGGGGCCGCGGCUGGUGAUGGGACUUGCUCCCUGAGCUGGCUACGGCCGCAGAGACCAGGUGGAAGCGACUGUUUACUAAAAACACAGGUCCAUGCAAAGUCGCAAGACGACGUAUAUGGACUGACGCCUGCCCGGUGCUGGAACGUUAAGGGGACCAGUUAGUUCUUCGGAGCGAAGCUGAGAACUUAAGCGCCAGUAAACGGCGGUGGUAACUAUAACCAUCCUAAGGUAGCGAAAUUCCUUGUCGGGUAAGUUCCGACCUGCACGAAUGGCGUAACGACUUCCACGCUGUCUCAACCGCAGACUCGGCGAAAUUGCACUACGAGUAAAGAUGCUCGUUACGCGUGGCAGGACGGAAAGACCCCGGGACCUUUACUACAGCUUGGUAUUGGUGGUCGGUUCGAUUUGUGUAGCAUAGGUGGGAGACUUGGAAGCCCGGACGCCAGUUCGGGUGGAGUCAUCGUUGAAAUACCACUCUGAUCGUAUUGGCUGUCUAACCUCGAUCCGUGAUCCGGAUUAGGGACAGUGCCUGGUGGGUAGUUUAACUGGGGCGGUUGCCUCCCAAAGAGUAACGGAGGCGCUCAAAGGUUCCCUCAGCCUGGUUGGCAAUCAGGUGUCGAGUGUAAGUGCACAAGGGAGCUUGACUGUGAGACUGACAGGUCGAGCAGGGACGAAAGUCGGAACUAGUGAUCCGGCGCCGGCAUGUGGAAGCGGCGUCGCUCAACGGAUAAAAGGUACCCCGGGGAUAACAGGCUGAUCUUGCCCAAGAGUCCAUAUCGACGGCAUGGUUUGGCACCUCGAUGUCGGCUCGUCGCAUCCUGGGGCUGGAGUCGGUCCCAAGGGUUGGGCUGUUCGCCCAUUAAAGCGGCACGCGA
rnacentral:rRNA from 1 species